CGGGGCGUAGCUCAGCCUGGCAGAGCGCCUGCUUUGGGAGCAGGAGGCCGCAGGUUCGAAUCCUGCCGCCCCGACCA
rnacentral:tRNA from 1 species